UACGUAGGGGGGCAAGCGUUGUCCGGAAUCAUUGGGCGUAAAGCGCGUGUAGGCGGCCCGGUAAGUCCGCUGUGAAAGUCGGGGGGCUCAACCCUCGAAUGCCGGUGGAUACUGUCGGGCUAGAGUGCGGGAGAGGCGAGUGGAAUUCCUGGUGUAGCGGUGAAAUGCGCAGAUAUCAGGAGGAACACCGAUUGCGAAGGCAGCUCGCUGGGACGUCACUGACGCUGAGACGCGAAAGCGUGGGGAGCAAACAGG
rnacentral:rRNA from 1 species